CGCGGCCUAUCAGCUUGUUGGUGAGGUAACGGCUCACCAAGGCGACGACGGGUAGCCGGCCUGAGGGGGCGACCGGCCACACUGGGACUGAGACACGGCCCAGACUCCUACGGGAGGCAGCAGUGGGGAAUAUUGCACAAUGGGCGAAAGCCUGAUGCAGCGACGCCGCGUGCGGGAUGACGGCCUUCGGGUUGUAAACCGCCUUCAGCAGGGAAGAAACGCAAGUGACGGUACCUGCAGAAGAAGCGCCGGCUAACUACGUGCCAGCAGCCGCGGUAAUACGUAGGGCGCGAGUGUUAUCCGGAAUUAUUGGGCGUAAAGAGCUCGUAGGCGGUUUGUCACGUCUGCUGUGAAAGCCCGGGGCUCAACCCCGGGUGUGCAGUGGGUGCGGGCAGACUAGAGUGCAGUAGGGGAGACUGGAAUUCCUGGUGCAGCGGUGAAAUGCGCAGAUAUCAGGAGGAACACCGAUGGCGAAGGCAGGUCUCUGGGCUGUUACUGACGCUGAGGAGCGAAAGCAUGGGGAGCGAACAGGAUUAGAUACCCUGAUAGUCCAUGCCGUAAACGUUGGGCACUAGGUGUGGGGAACAUUCCACGUUUUCCGCGCCGUAGCUAACGCAUUAAGUGCCCCGCCUGGGGAGUACGG
rnacentral:rRNA from 1 species